rnacentral:rRNA from 1 species
AUUUGAGCAGUAGCGGAGCGUUCUGUAGGCCGAUGAAGCCAUACCCGGGAGGGAUGGUGGAGGUAUCAGAAGUGAGAAUGCUGACAUGAGUAGCGACAAAGAGUGUGAGAGACACUCUCGCCGAAAGUCCAAGGGUUCCUGAGCUAGGCUAAUCCGCUCAGGGUGAGUCGGCCCCUAAGGCUAAGGAGAAAUCCGAUGCCGAUGGGAAUACGGUUAAUAUUCCGUAACCAGGUGUGAGUGACGGAUGGCGUAAGUUGUCAGUGCUAAUUGGAUUGUGCUGGCAGCGAAGCUGUCCCAGGAAAGAGCUCCACCGCAUGACCGUACCCGAAACCAACACAGGUGGACUGGUAGAGUAUACCAAGGCGCUUGAGAGAA